UUUGGACAUGCAGCUCUAUCCAUCUUCAUUUCUAUAUAACAUGUUUCUUUAAAUCCAAUAUAGUGUUUUCCCCUUUUUUUGUUUAAUUUAAUACAGCACUACUGCAACAAAGGUAGAAUAAGCGAAAGAAUAUUUCCUGUUAUGAUAGCAGAAGCUGAAAUUUCACUUCAGCUUUAAACGUCGAGUUCUGGGCAAGAAUAAAAAGAAUACAAGGUUACUUCCAUAUGUUCUAUUCAAUCCCCACUUGGGAAGAAAACAGAACAGGCAAGAAAACAGACCUUCUGGGAACCUUUCUCUCAAGACAAAUCACCAGUCAAAGAAAAUCAUUCCUUUCCACGUCUGUAAAACCAAACGAACAUUCAAAAUUUUUAGCCUGCGAAAAUAUGUUGCCAUUGCCAGCAGGCAUCUGAUGGAGGUGUUUCUUCCAAUUCUUAAAAUUCAAAAUAUUUGAGUUCUUCACACUGAACAUUCUUUUCCAAGUUAAUCCUUCUCGGUCACAAUAAGCCAGCUUCGAAGAGAUUUCUCCGUCUUAAAGUCUCAUCCACAAGCUUGAAAGUUUUCUUCACAAGUUUCUGAUCAAGGGCAGUGGUUCUAUAUAUUUUAAAAACACGAUCCACGCGAUCAGGGGUUGUGCUUCGAAAAUACAACUCCUCAAAUUUCUUCUUGACAAAUCUGAAGAAAAAGAUCAAUAGAAAUGGUCAUUUGAGUUUUCUGGAACCCAGAAUAAUUUUGUAAAGCUUCAAAAAGCAUUGAUGAGGCCGGGUGAAUGGUGGUUUGGUUGGUCCUGGCCACUGAGAACAAGCCACUAAACAACCACCAAAUACUUUGACAUGAUUCCCCUACCACCUGCAUCAUCAAGCUCAACAAACAGUCCUAACAAUAUAAUCCUCAACUCUAGCAAAGUACAAUACAAUUGAAGCUUUCAAACAAUUACAGACCAAUUAACUAAUUUAGAGACUGAGGAAAGAGCAUGUCAGCAGAAGUUGGCAAGAGUGUUUCUUAUGUAUUCAGUGAGUUCAUAUCUAUCAUUUGAAGCAAAUGACAGGAAUACUUGUGUUAGGUACAAAAUCCUAGGAAUAUUUGUGUAAGUACAAAAUGCUUACUCAUAUGCAUGCUCGAUCUCUUGUUUGCCCAUUGAAACUGGCUGGUAAUCCUUGAACCACUCACAUACAUUCAGCGGCACCUAUACAGUGUGGAAUAUCAAUGAUCCAAACUAAUGCUAAUUUUGUAAAUUACUGAAUAAAAAUGAACUGUCCUAUUAGCUCUUACUUUCAGAACCUUCUUUUCAAAUAUAUCAAAUUUGUUGAGAAACAGCAUGAAGGAUGUUUUCUCAAAACAUGGCUGCUUCAGGACCCAUUCAAAAAGCUCCUUAGUCUCCAUCACACGAUUCUUGUUUUCAUCCUCAAAAAGUGUUUGAUCAUACUCGCUAAUUGCAGCACAAAAAAUUACAGCUGUAACUCCUUCAAAUAGAUGGAUCCAUUUCCGCCUCUCAUUUCUCUGGCCACCAACAUCAAAAAGUCUAUAAACUUCACCACUUCUCUUGUUCUCUCCAACAGGGCUGAACUGGAUCUCUACAACACCAGUUGUACGAACUCUUGCAUAUAGAACAUCUUCCUUAGUUGGAAUAUAAUUCGGGUCAGACAAUCUUUGCAAGUUUUCCAUGAAAUAAUGGGCACAGUCUGGAACUUGAAGCUCAUUACCCCGGGUAUAUGUUUCCUGAAUCGCAGUAUCUUUCCAUAAAGUUUCAGUCUCCUGUGCAAGCUCAUUGGUGAGAAAUGGAUAAUCCAACCUGCCUCCAAUUUCUGACAACUUCUCUCCAAUGUCCUAAUGGACAAUUAAAAUCGAUUGGUUUUAGCAGUAAAUCCUCUUGAACACAGGACUCCACAAGAUUUCUCAAGAAAACAACAAAAACCAUCAAAUUUGCCAAUAUUCUAUAUAAACAAUUCAUGUUAUAUAACACGUAGCAUUUCUAUUAAAAUAUUGCUAACCAGAUCAAAAGAGAUAAUCUCACUUGAAGCAUUGUAAGACAUUCAAAUGGUGAAUUCAAACCUUAUUUUCACUGCAUAUGACAUACUUUGAGGAAUCCGCUUCAUUUUGAGCCAAUUCCUUUGAUCCAUCGUGCAAUAUUUUUAUUGUCUGAUAGACAUUGGCAUGGAUGACUGAUAUAUAGCUCUUCAGUUCUGACUCAUCAAAACCACUUUGAAACAAAAGUUUUAUCUGCUUAAAUAUUGUGGACUUCCCAGAGUCUCCAGCACCAAGCAAUAGGAGUUUCUGAACAUGCUUUUCAGCCUUUGUUUCUUGUUCAAUUCGUCUUUCAAUUUCAGCAGCCUGUGCACUCUCUUCAGCAUCUGCUUCAUUGUAACGGCGCUGUUUACUGCAGAGUGAGCCCAUAUUUUGUAUUACAAUAGGCAGCAUAGACAAGGCAGUGAUCAGGCUUGACUAGGUGUCAAAAAAUUCUUUGAUUCCUUUCUAUAAAGAUCACUCAUUAUGUGGUCAACUUAACCUGAACAAGAUGCCACAAACCUGGUUGGAAAGGAAAGUAGCUUAGGUACUGAUUUGGGUGAAUAGUUUAGUAGCAAUAGCAAAGAGGACAGCAAUUGGCUGGUCCUUACGCCGUGGGUGUUGUAAGAAACUAAGAAUAGAUAUGUUAUAUAAAUAUAUAAAAUUAAAUAAAUAGUCGGGGAUCAAGAGGUGGCCAAAUCUGGAAGGAUGGAAAGAGAAAGAAAAAGCGCCGAAAGCUGCAAGCAAAGCCAAUUCUCUCUCUUUGUUGCUUGUACUUCUCUUCCUCCAGUCAAAGUUCAAAAGGAGAGAGAAUAAAUCAUAAAUAAAUGAAAAAUAUAAAAGAAAG
rnacentral:misc_RNA from 1 species